GAGUUUGAUCAUGGCUCAGAAUGAACGCUGGCGGCGUGCUUAACACAUGCAAGUCGUACGAGAAACCGGAACUUCGGUUCCGGGAGUAAAGUGGCGCACGGGUGAGUAACGCGUAGGUAAUCUACCCUUGGGUUUGGAAUAACCCGCCGAAAGGCGGACUAAUACCGGAUAAGAUCUUUCAGAGGGAUCUGAAAGAUCAAAGGUGGCCUCUCCAUGGAUGCUACUGCCUGAGGAUGAGCCUGCGUCCCAUUAGCUUGUUGGUAGGGUAAUGGCCUACCAAGGCUACGAUGGGUAGCUGGUCUGAGAGGAUGAUCAGCCACACCGGAACUGGAACACGGUCCAGACUCCUACGGGAGGCAGCAGUGAGGAAUAUUGCGCAAUGGGGGAAACCCUGACGCAGCGACGCCGCGUGGGUGAAGAAGGCCUUCGGGUCGUAAAGCCCUGUCUAGAGGGAAGAAAUUCUCAAUGGAAUAAUACCCGUUGAGAUUGACGGUACCUCUGGAGGAAGCACCGGCUAACUCCGUGCCAGCAGCCGCGGUAAUACG
rnacentral:rRNA from 1 species